rnacentral:tRNA from 1 species
GUAGAUAUAGUUUAUAAAAAUAUUAGAUUGUGAUUCUAAAGACAGGGGUUAAAGUCCCCUUAUCCACC